rnacentral:rRNA from 1 species
GAUGAACGCUGACAGAAUGCUUAACACAUGCAAGUCCACUUGAACUUCGGUUUGGGUGGCGGACGGGUGAGUAACGCGUAAAGAACUUGCCUCACAGCUAGGGACAACAUUUGGAAACGAAUGCUAAUACCUGAUAUUAUGAUUAUAUGGCAUCGUAUAAUUAUGAAAGCUAUAUGCGCUGUGAGAGAGCUUUGCGUCCCAUUAGCUAGUUGGAGAGGUAACAGCUCACCAAGGCGAUGAUGGGUAGCCGGCCUGAGAGGGUGAUCGGCCACAAGGGGACUGAGACACGGCCCUUACUCCUACGGGAGGCAGCAGGGGGGAAUAUUGGACAAUGGACCGAGAGUCUGAUCCAGCAAUUCUGUGUGCACGAUGAAGUUUUUCGGAAUGUAAAGUGCUUUCAGUUGGGAAGAAAAAAAUGACGGUACCAACAGAAGAAGUGACGGCGAAAUACGU